rnacentral:rRNA from 1 species
UACGACCAGGACCAGUCGACGAGACCGUUCGCUGAGGGCAGGGCACAACCAGGUCGAGGCGCAUGGGACACAGUCAGGCGACGCUAAAGCGGCGGGCACACAGCGGAUGCCGGAUGCCCGUUCUCACCUCCGCUAAACCCCGUCCACCACUUCGGUGGCUGCCACCGCAGAAGGGACGGCAGUUCGCUCCCGCCACCGCCGCCGUGUCAUGCUGUACCUUAGGUCUACCCAAUAUGGCGAACACCAAUAAAACGAACGUAACGUUUAAGUGGGGCAAGCGACAGCCGUUCUCGGUCGCGAAAGUGGCACAUUGAGGUGUGAACAAUAACGGUUCAUGGGGACACUAUUGUGGUGGUAUCAAACGAGGGCUUACCUUAGGUGCUUCCUGGUCGAACAGGGAACCGAUAGAAAGUGACACAGGAAGCAUUAUAAUAAGACGGGUAAGAACGCAUAGUUUCUCAACUUCGGGUUAGGUGCUUGACUACGCGUUUGGAAGAAAACCACCAAAAACAAACAACCAAAAGACCUAAUAUAAGAGACCUAGACCAUAAAACUCCUUACGAGACUAGGUGUAAUAAGUCGUAUAGGACACAAUGACUGGACGACAAAACCCACGCCAUAUGUGGACUAGAAGAGAGAAUAUCGAUGUCAUUACUGAACCUUAAGACCCCUAGUCGCUCAUGCUACCCCGUAAUAUGAAUGUAAGAACCAGAAACAGCCACCACCUUAAAAAGUAUUUUAUGUUUCUGUUCGGGAACCGACCUACCCUCAUCGUGAUUCACACGACAGAGUAAGAAAGGCAUAACCUAGUUGCCACAUGAUGCGGUUCUAAUUAGCCAUAGACAAACAACGGAGGUACCACCCCAGUCAUUUACCUAAGAACACCGAAUAGGUAGGAGUCGAUACGUAAAGUUUCCUUAUGUUCUUAAUACAGUGGUAGAGGAACUACCAUUGGCCACUGGGGGGUUGAAGCACCGCAUAAUUCUACUUAAGCAACCACUAAUUUCACCACUAAAUCUAACUUUGUGUGAAUAGUGGUUUAGAACAAAGUGACCUAGUUACACGUUCUUUCUCUAUAUAAGUUCACAUUGAUCGAGCCACGAGCACCAACGAUGCCUUAGUGUUUAUUCGACUCAAUCUGUGCACCGUACCUUCUAGUUACCUUUUCGUAUUCACAUCAUACUGGCGAAGUACCCAUGUUACUUUUUUUUCUCUGUUCCUCCGUCAAGGUCCGUCACUGAUUUUGUUAGUACCCAUCCCAAACUUCUAAAUUUAGAUGUACUUUGAUUUUAAAACUCUACGACUUCCUAUCCGUGUACCUUCUUUAUGCUGCGUUCCUUUUGCUAACCCUUUCUUCCUUCCAUCCGGGUUGUUCUUACUUCUCACUCCUCACUUUAGUGGGGGUCAAGGUCAGAAAUAUUCAUCCUUUCUGUUAAUAACGAUUCUUGAGUAAAAAUAAAAACAUAUACUACUACAUUAGUAAUUUAAUCGAACUGGAAUACUUAGACGAAGUACAAAUGAAUGCACAAUAUUAUUAGUCCUUAGUCCUUAAACCUCGUUGUUUGUG